rnacentral:rRNA from 1 species
UACGAAGGGUGCAAGCGUUACUCGGAUUCACUGGGCGUAAAGGGUGCGCAGGCGGUUGGGUGUGUCAGAUGUGAAAUCCCGAGGCUUAACCUCGGAACUGCGUCUGAAACUACUCGACUAGAGUACUGGAGAGGGUAACGGAAUUCACGGUGUAGCAGUGAAAUGCGUAGAUAUCGUGAGGAACACCAGAGGCGAAGGCGGUUACCUGGACAGUUACUGACGCUCAGGCACGAAAGCAUGGGGAGCAAAAGGG